rnacentral:rRNA from 1 species
AUUGAACGCUGGCGGCAUGCCUUACACAUGCAAGUCGAACGGUAACAGGUCUUCGGAUGCUGACGAGUGGCGAACGGGUGAGUAAUACAUCGGAACGUGCCCGAUCGUGGGGGAUAACUGCUCGAAAGAGCAGCUAAUACCGCAUACGAUCUAUGGAUGAAAGCGGGGGAUCGCAAGACCUCGCGCGGACGGAGCGGCCGAUGGCAGAUUAGGUAGUUGGUGGGAUAAAAGCUUACCAAGCCGACGAUCUGUAGCUGGUCUGAGAGGACGACCAGCCACACUGGGACUGAGACACGGCCCAGACUCCUACGGGAGGCAGCAGUGGGGAAUUUUGGACAAUGGGCGAAAGCCUGAUCCAGCCAUGCCGCGUGCAGGAUGAAGGCCUUCGGGUUGUAAACUGCUUUUGUACGGAACGAAAAGACUCCUUCUAAUAAAGGGGGUCCAUGACGGUACCGUAAGAAUAAGCACCGGCUAACUACGUG